CCCUUAGAUGUUCUGGGCCGCACGCGCGCUACACUGACGGAGCCAACGAGUACUUUCCUUGUCCGGAAGGACUGGGUAAUCUUGUGAAACUUCGUCGUGCUGGGGAUAGAGCAUUGCAAUUAUUGCUCUUCAACGAGGAAUUCCUAGUAAGCGUGAGUCAUCAGCUCGCGUUGAUUACGUCCCUGCCCUUUGUACACACCGCCCGUCGCUCCUACCGAUUGAAUGUUCCGGUGAGCUCUUCGGACUGCGCGGUCUGCAGUUUCUGCGUUCCGUGCGGAAAGUUGCGCAAACCUUAACAUUUAGAGGAAGGAGAAGUCGUAACA
rnacentral:rRNA from 1 species